UUUCCCUCUCUCUGUUUACAUUGA
rnacentral:miRNA from 1 species